rnacentral:rRNA from 1 species
GGCUCACGAUGAACGCUAGCUACAGGCUUAACACAUGCAAGUCGAGGGGCAGCAUGGUCUUAGCUUGCUAAGGCCGAUGGCGACCGGCGCACGGGUGAGUAACACGUAUCCAACCUGCCGUCUACUCUUGGACAGCCUUCUGAAAGGAAGAUUAAUACAAGAUGGCAUCAUGAGUCCGCAUGUUCACAUGAUUAAAGGUAUUCCGGUAGACGAUGGGGAUGCGUUCCAUUAGAUAGUAGGCGGGGUAACGGCCCACCUAGUCUUCGAUGGAUAGGGGUUCUGAGAGGAAGGUCCCCCACAUUGGAACUGAGACACGGUCCAAACUCCUACGGGAGGCAGCAGUGAGGAAUAUUGGUCAAUGGGCGAGAGCCUGAACCAGCCAAGUAGCGUGAAGGAUGACUGCCCUAUGGGUUGUAAACUUCUUUUAUAAAGGAAUAAAGUCGGGUAUGGAUACCCGUUUGCAUGUACUUUAUGAAUAAGGAUCGGCUAACUCCGUGCCAGCAGCCGCGGUAAUACGGAGGAUCCGAGCGUUAUCCGGAUUUAUUGGGUUUAAAGGGAGCGUAGAUGGAUGUUUAAGUCAGUUGUGAAAGUUUGCGGCUCAACCGUAAAAUUGCAGUUGAUACUGGAUAUCUUGAGCGCAGUUGAGGCAGGCGGAAUUCGUGGUGUAGCGGUGAAAUGCUUAGAUAUCACGAAGAACUCCGAUUGCGAAGGCAGCCUGCUAAGCUGCAACUGACAUUGAGGCUCGAAAGUGUGGGUAUCAAACAGGAUUAGAUACCCUGGUAGUCCACACGGUAAACGAUGAAUACUCGCUGUUUGCGAUAUACAGCAAGCGGCCAAGCGAAAGCGUUAAGUAUUCCACCUGGGGAGUACGCCGGCAACGGUGAAACUCAAAGGAAUUGACGGGGGCCCGCACAAGCGGAGGAACAUGUGGUUUAAUUCGAUGAUACGCGAGGAACCUUACCCGGGCUUAAAUUGCAGAUGAAUUACGGUGAAAGCCGUAAGCCGCAAGGCAUCUGUGAAGGUGCUGCAUGGUUGUCGUCAGCUCGUGCCGUGAGGUGUCGGCUUAAGUGCCAUAACGAGCGCAACCCUUGUUGUCAGUUACUAACAGGUUCCGCUGAGGACUCUGACAAGACUGCCAUCGUAAGAUGUGAGGAAGGUGGGGAUGACGUCAAAUCAGCACGGCCCUUACGUCCGGGGCUACACACGUGUUACAAUGGGGGGUACAGAGGGCCGCUACCACGCGAGUGGAUGCCAAUCCCCAAAACCUCUCUCAGUUCGGACUGGAGUCUGCAACCCGACUCCACGAAGCUGGAUUCGCUAGUAAUCGCGCAUCAGCCACGGCGCGGUGAAUACGUUCCCGGGCCUUGUACACACCGCC